GAUUUCUGACUUGUAACACCAGGUCCACUCAUUUUGGGUGCGUAUUUGGCUGUUCGGGUCAUCCUUCCGAUGAGUACCACUGCCCUUGAUUGGGUGGGUGGUGCGACAUCGGAUCUUUUACUUUGAAAAAAUUAGAGUGUUCAAAGCAGGCAUUUAGCUGUGAAUACAUUAGCAUGGAAUAAUAAUUUAGGACUUCGGUUCUAUUUUGUUGGUUUCUAGGACUGAAGUAAUGAUUGAUAGGGAUAGUUGGGGGUGCUAGUAUUCAGCGGCCAGAGGUGAAAUUCUCGGAUUCGCUGAAGACUAACUUAUGCGAAAGCAUU
rnacentral:rRNA from 1 species